CAAAAGGCUGCUACAGGACAUCAUGACCUGCACAGCCCUUCUCCUCAGCCUCCUGGCUCAUUGCACAGAUAAUGCCCUAAGGCUUCAAAAUACAACCAACCCCAAAGCUCAAUUAUAAUUAACCUGGCCUUAAUUCUGAGCUUAUCAGGGCUUUAUCUGUGGUGGGCAGGUUACUAAGAACAGGCAGCAGGAUGACUAUGGGCAGAAAUUCCCACACAGUGCUCCCUGGCUUUUCUGAGCCUGAGGAGGGAAGGGGUUGGGGUUGUUCAUGGGUUCAAAUCUCUGUUCCUCAGUCAGGCUCAUGGGCCCUAUGGUGCCAUGCUGGUGGCAGGUUUUUGUCUCACUUCCCUGUCUGCCUGUGUCACUGUGGUUUUGGUGCCAGAGAAUGCCCUUUGUCCCACAGAAGCUCUUCCUGAAGCUCUUCUAGGCUGGGAGCGGGGGGGGGGGGAAGACAUCCCAUAGGAAGUGUCUGUAACCAAUUUUCUCCCCUUUCCUUUUAUUUACUUAUAGGUUCUAUAGCCUCUUAGGUUCUGACACAGCCAUCAUCAGUAUCAGUGACCCCAGGACAGACUGCCACAAUCAUCUGUGAAGGCAACAGCAUUAGCAGCUAUCUUGAGCACUGGUACCAGCAGCAGCCAGCACGCCCCUCUGCUGGUCAUCUACAAAGAUAGCAAGGGGCCCUCAGGGAUCCCUGACCCAUUCUCUGCCUCCAACUCUGGGAACACAGCCACCCUGACCGUCAGUGGAGUCCAGGCUGGAGAGGAGGGUGACUAUUACUGUCAGGUGGGGUAUAGCAAUGCUGCUCACAGUGACACAGG
rnacentral:lncRNA from 1 species